ACUAGUAAAUUGUGGUAUAGCUUAAAUGUAGUAAUGACAUUUUCACCAAAAAACUGAAAAUAUAAUACAUGUAAAUCAUUUUAACACAUUAUGUUGUUUCCUAGACCAUGCUCAUGAAUGUGGUGAUUUCUUAGUUGGAGGGUGUUGUAGACAGUUAGUGCCUUAACAGAAGUCUCUUUUUUUUUUAUAAAGCUCUACUUUUAUUUGUCUUUAAUGGUUGAUGAAUGGCCUUGGUCAAGUUCUUCAAAAGGAACAAGAAGUUGUGGACAUUAAAUGCUGUGAAACACUCAGUUCUUGAAACCGAUGUCAUGAAGAAGACGGCUCCUCCAGACAUACUUAUGUGUGGAACAAGGAUUUUAUACCUGUGAGACAUGGAAGAACUUUACAGAAGUUCGGAUUUACGAAGUUAUGAUUAGUGUUCAAUUUAAUCAGUGUAUACAUAUGGAAAAUAAAACCAUUAGUGCAAA